UCAUGCAUUCCUAUCCAUUAAAAAUGUAAUUUUACUGUGGACCUCUCAUAGUGUACCAUGCCAGAGUAAAUGGCAGCCUCGAACCAUUGCCCAGCCUCUUACCUGUGGGCUGUGAGCACUGAAGGGGGUUGCACAGUA
rnacentral:snoRNA from 1 species